AGGGUUUGAUCAUGGCUCAGAACGUACGCUGGCGGCACGCCUAACACAUGCAAGUCGAACGAAGUAGCAAUACUUAGUGGCAGACGGGUGAGUAACAUGUAGGUAUCUACCCUUUGGCCUGGAAUAACACGAGGAAACUUGUGCUAAUACCGGAUAAGUCUUUACGGAGAAAGCUUUAUGCACCAUUGGAUGAGCCUGCACUUGAUUAGUUUGUUGGUGGGGUAAUGGCCUACCAAGACUGUGAUCAAUAGCUGAUUUGAGAGGAUGAUCAGCAACACUGGGACUGAGACACGGCCCAGACUCCUACGGGAGGCAGCAGUGGGGAAUCUUAGACAAUGGGCGCAAGCCUGAUCUAGCCAUGCCGCGUGAGCGAUGAAGGCCUUAGGGUCGUAAAACUCUUUCGCCAGGGAUGAUAAUGACAGUACCUGGUAAAGAAACCCCGGCUAACUCCGUGCCAGCCGCCGCGGUAAUAC
rnacentral:rRNA from 1 species